rnacentral:rRNA from 1 species
GCCAGUUGGGGCAGCUAUACAUGCAGUCGAGCGGACAGAUGGGAGCUUGCUCCCUGAUGUUAGCGGCGGACGGGUGAGUAACACGUGGGUAACCUGCCUGUAAGACUGGGAUAACUCCGGGAAACCGGGGCUAAUACCGGAUGGUUGUCUGAACCGCAUGGUUCAGACAUAAAAGGUGGCUUCGGCUACCACUUACAGAUGGACCCGCGGCGCAUUAGCUAGUUGGUGAGGUAACGGCUCACCAAGGCGACGAUGCGUAGCCGACCUGAGAGGGUGAUCGGCCACACUGGGACUGAGACACGGCCCAGACUCCUACGGGAGGCAGCAGUAGGGAAUCUUCCGCAAUGGACGAAAGUCUGACGGAGCAACGCCGCGUGAGUGAUGAAGGUUUUCGGAUCGUAAAGCUCUGUUGUUAGGGAAGAACAAGUGCCGUUCAAAUAGGGCGGCACCUUGACGGUACCUAACCAGAAAGCCACGGCUAACUACGUGCCAGCAGCCGCGGUAAUACGUAGGUGGCAAGCGUUGUCCGGAAUUAUUGGGCGUAAAGGGCUCGCAGGCGGUUUCUUAAGUCUGAUGUGAAAGCCCCCGGCUCAACCGGGGAGGGUCAUUGGAAACUGGGGAACUUGAGUGCAGAAGAGGAGAGUGGAAUUCCACGUGUAGCGGUGAAAUGCGUAGAGAUGUGGAGGAACACCAGUGGCGAA